UUUCAUUCAAGAAAUAAUCUUGGAGUGAGAAUGAGCUUCCCAUUGCAGGAAAACAGUAGAAGCCGUAGCUGCAUUCUAUUGUGCCUAUUAAAGAUAAUUGGUAACUGGGUCAUUACAGACUUACAUUUUAUGUUUGUUUUUUUCCAUUUCAGAAUCAGGCUUAUGAAAUUAUUCUAACUUUAGGCCAGGCUUUUGAAGUUGCCUAUCAACUGGCCAUUCAAGCUCAGAAAUCCCGGCAUCCUGAAGCUUUAGUCUCUCGUCCAGCCAAACCUGUCCCAAAACCACGUGGUAGCAUACGGAGACAGACUGUAAGUACUUAAGAGUAGUGUUUGAAUCACCAUUGCUUGUUUAUCUUGUGCUUUUUUCAGUUAUUUGAGUAGAAGUCAUUUAUAUUUCUACACAAAAAUGUAGAAUAGUCUUAUAUUUACACAGCAACUUUAUUCUAACUCCUUUUUACUUUUUUCUUUUUACAGUUGUUUAAUUUCUAUAUAAAUUGCUUUCCCAGCAUUAUUCUUAAUUUACUUAUAUCCAUUCAUUCAUUUUUUUUUUUUUCCUGUUUAUUUUCCAAGAUUCAGAUUUCAGUUCUUUUUGUCUGUUAUGGUUAAACACAGAUUAAUUGAUUUUAGUUGGUUGCAUUUAAAAUGCAAUGUACUAAACUUUGCGAUAAACAUGAAUUCACUAAUAUGCUUUGUGUUGGGACCUUUAUUUUGUUGACCAAUCGUAGACAAACUAACCGUGUAUAAUACAUGUCACAUGACAGAUGGACUCAUUGGACGGUGAACAAUCUGUGACCUCUCACGGGGGAGUGUCGUGGACUGGGGAUCCUAAGCAGUAGUUGAAUAGGAGCCAAUGAGAAGCAAGUGAGUAGAAUUAAUUCUCAGAGCUUAAUCAUAGAAAAACAAAAGCAAAUGACAAGACUAAAACAACAUCAAUGAGCAAGUGUGUGUGUGUAUAAAUGUUUAAUGCGGAUACUUUACAUGUUGAUCGAGUUAGUUUGUUGAAGUGUGUGAAAAGUGUUUCAUUUUACAAAAAAGUACCCUUUUCAACAGAAAUUGGCAAUUUAUAAAUUUAACCUUUUUAUACCAUCAUGACUGCCAAUCAGGCAACCAUUCCUGUUACUUCCUGGUUGUUUAGCUUAGUGGAGCUAAACUCAAGAGGCAGCAUUUGCCCAGAGUAAGUGCCUUGCAAAGACUUCUCAUUGAGUUGCAUUGGGAAGUCUGUGAUUGGACAGGCGCAUGAAGUGUGAGCUUUCAAAUAAAACAUGAGCAAGUAAUAAGAAUGCAACAUAAGUGUAUUCUGUACUGUAGGUGAGUCCCACACCAGUCUUAUAGCAGUUGGCUGGUGGUCUUGUAAUAAAAUUUUUCUACCCUUGUACACACUGCAGGAUGACACUAUGUUGACUUCUUUAGGAAAGAUAUAUCUAAUUUUCUUUUUCUUUCUAAUACUCGUUAGUAUUUUGUGUGUGGAGGGGGGGUGUUGCCCUUAAUUAUUUAUAAUAGCAAUGUCUUAGUAGCAUUUUUUGUUGAAUGAACAUGAAAUUUGGGCCUUUGUGCUGAUUCCUACAUUCAUUGUUUUUGUUUGCUAUAUACCUAAUUUUAACUGUAUUUCUAUACUUGUUUUCUGCUUUUUCUCUUUCCAGUUAUGGAUCCUGUUUUUCAAAACCAACAGACCUCCACUGAUCUUUACAUUUCCUUCAUAUCUCACUAUGCUGAGCAAGAGAGGACAAAAGGACAAACACCAAGCUGCUGCAGAUAAAGGGAGCACAGUUGCCUCCUCCUUCAUUGAUGUUUCCAAACUCACUCAUAAUUUAUGGGAGAAGACUGGCAGUUAUAAUUUCACUUUCUUUUUUGCCUCCGUUUCAUAUGUUUUUUUGGAAUUCAACUUUAUAAGUUAGGUAUAUAUGGGCAAAAUGAAGAUGUGGAGUUAUUCUUUCUUCCAUAUAACUUUAAUUCAUGACAUUGAGUUUUACGCUUUUAUGUGCAACUGUUCUUCAUAUCCUUUUUGAUUAUUUUUUUUUUUUUCCCCAACUGCACACACCCUUUCUAACAUAUUUAAUGUAGCACUUUUUUGGGGUGAUGUUUGCAGUUUGGAACAACAAGGAUUUAUGUCUCCUUGAGUGGUUGAGCUUCUUUAACUCACUGCAAGGAAUAUUUGUUAUGUGAGUGUUUUGUCCCUUUAAUUUGUGUCGGAAAGUGAAGGUUGCCUUCUGAAUUCCACAGCUCAACUGGUAUGAAAGUCCCUUUGAAACUACACCCCUGUUCAUAGUAUAGGGCUAGUUAGGGAUUUGCAAGACCGAAAAAGGCCCUUUUGAAGACUCCAUAUGUUCUCUUAACUUAACAGGGCUUUUCCCCAUCAUGUGUCUGAAAUAUAUUCUGCCAAACUAUUAAAAAGUUAGCCAGAACGUGGUACUGGAAGGUAUGGAAAAGCAAUUCCAGUUGCUGUUUUACCUUUGUGUUCUUGCUGCAAGAACUUUGGGCCUAAAUGGUGGUAAAAUUCCAAAGCAGGUCUGACUUGAGAGAUUUCCACAAAUGUCUCUAUAAGCUAUGAUUAAAAGUUAAACAUUUUUGUAAUUGGAACCACAUGGGGGUAUUUAUACAUGAACAUUUUAAAGAGUAAUAACGCAGAAGUUGGGGCAGAUUACCAGAUAAGUGAGGUUUAACAUUUUUGUAUUUUAUGCUUAAUGAAUUUGAAAGCAUGCAUAAGGCCCAUAGAAGCAAAAUAUACAUGUUAUUUAAUUCCUUUUUUAUGUAUGUGAAACUGAGCCUAUAAUGUGUGUAGGUCUAUUUUAUUCUACAUGGGACUUGUCAUUUUUGACUUUCUGCAUUUUUAGCUCAGUCAUAUAUUGGGGAAGAUGCUUUUAAAAUCCUUUGAUAUAUUUGCAUUUACUAUAUCAAGUAUUCUGCUUCAUCACAGGCAGACAGUGCCCGCGUCAAGUCAUCCGGACACUAUGCAGUCAUUUAUUUUUAAAGCCUAGCUUUUUGCAUUUUUUUUUUUUUUAUUUGAACAACAGAUUGGGGAAGGAAAAUUGGGACAUUCUUGUUGCAAUCAGUUUGUAAAUUUGCCCGUUGCUCAUUCUUUUUCUAUGCCCAUUAAGCUGCGUGCAGGGAACCCAAUGCCUACUUCAUCUGCACAUGAACAAAAAUCUCAGCUCUUCCAGCCAUGACGGCUUGUUCUCUAACUUUUGAAGUCAACUUCUGGAAGAUUUUGUGGCCCUGCCCAUGUGGACUCUUGCACACCUAGCAUUGCUGCUGUACCACUUGAACAUCACACUAACAUUUUUAGUCAGUACUAGUUUAAAGCUGCUAUAUGUAAUCCAGUAUUUAUCUUCUAGUGAAUGAAAUUUUGAUUUAAAUCUGCUAUAAGGGUACAUUUAAUUACGGUACAUUUGAUCCUCCUUGUCAAAUAGGGAUUGGUGGUACAGAAAUCUCACAGAUGUUAAAUUGAUGGGGUGCUCCUCAAUAUUAUACCUGUGUUCUCAUAUAAAAUAGUCAAAACCAUCCUCUUUGAAAAUAAUUUGAUAUUCUUGAAUAAUAGUGUUAAUUAUAUCAGCACACUGAUAAUGAAAGCCCCAAUGAUGGGCUUCUGUGGAUAUUGAAGGUAAACACUGGUGUAUAAUGUUGAUUUGUUUAUUUACAACAUUUAAUCCAGGGCAAACUGACCAAAAGUUAGAUCUCUAGCAUUUGAACUACAACUCCCACUAUUUUUGCCAUUUUUAUUGCUGUCAAACCAUGAAGGAAGUUGUAGCUCUACAACAAUUGAUAAUUUGUUAGAUAAGAAUAUUAUGUGCUGUUGGAAAACAGAUCUGCACCCUCUGUCUGUACUCAAAAGAUUGUCCCUUGCAUUUACCCACCCUUGCUCCAAAAGGUCCAGAAUAGGAUAUGAAAAUAGGUACAUAGAUGCCACCAUGCACUGUAUAAUUCUGAGUACCUUUACAGUUACCAGAAGAGGGGCUUCAUUAAAAUCCUGGCCAUGAUUAUUCUUGCUUAUUUUUACUAUUCUAUGUUUUUUUUUUUAAUAACCCAAAUUGUUAUACAGCACUAUGGUACAAUCAUCUUUUUCAAGGAGCUUAUUACCAAAUUACCUCCUUAAGAUGAUUAGUGGAUACAUUGCUCAUUUUAAAAGUCUCAAUGAAGAACUGCCCAUUAAUACUAAAUGUCAAAUGUUUGAGUCUCCAUAACCAGCUAAAUAUGUCUGGUCAUCUUACUUUACAAAACCUAAAAAUGAAAAUACACUUUUUUAAUUUUAUUAUUUUGUGUGAUUGGUUUGUGUAAAUGUCAAGUUAUGUAUUUUUUUUGUGGGAGAACGUUCAAUUUUCUUAAGUUUCAAAUUCACAAGUUCUGUCUUCUUUGGCAUUACAGUUAUCAGGCCCUGUUUUCAGGUAAGCAUGUUAUAUAUUCCAACAAAUUGGCAUACCUGACAUCCAACUUAAAGAGAAGGACUGUUCAUUGAGCUUUAACUGUUUGAUAUUAAUUGGUUUGUGUUAGUCUCUAUAUACAUACACAGAUUAGGCAGUAUUUCUGUUACAUACCCUGUUUAUUUAAAUCACAGAUGUUUCCUAAUAUAAGGAUAUAAUCACCUCCCCCCCCCACAACAGUAAGCUUUUAUUUAAGAGAUGAGGGCACUUGUAAAAUUUGCAGUUUCCACCACUCUUUUAAACCAAACUAUCUGUUUUUUUUGUUUUUUAAAUUGCCACUGAAUAAGGUGAGAGUAACGACAGUAACUGAUAACAAAUCAAUUUGUUCAGCCUUAAUAAGUUACAAAAGGGUUGUAAUAUCGCCUAUUUGUUGUAUAAAGGUAUAUUUACUGAAGACUUAAAUACAUUUUUUUCAUUAAAAUUUAUUUAUAUAAUAUUUUGUAAUACAGACGGUUAACUGCCUCUGAAAUAGCAGUUUGGCGGAAUGAUUGUAAAAACAGUAAUUUUUUUUAAAAAUAUUUUUUUUGCCACUGUAUAGGUUGUGUGAAGCUAGCUGAAUUGAAAAAAGGUUGCAAAAAGCAUUAUUAAAAAAGCAUAGUAGGAGGUGUGGGCCAAAGAAAUUGAAAGCUAGAAGAGUGAAAAUCUGUCUAAUGGACACAUUUAGAAAAAAAUAAAAAAUUAUAUAUUUUUUUUAAUUUGAUAUCCGUGUGUGAUGCUGCCUCCAUGCUGAUCAAAGCUGUAGAAAAUUUAAAACACAACACUAAUUUCCAAUGAUUGCAUUUUUUUUUUUUUUAAAUCCGUUAUUUUGAAUCACACAAUUAUAUCUUCAUAAAAUCGCUACAUCUUUUCAGCAUUUCAAUGGGGAAAAAGAGGCAACUAAGUAUCCCUGGUACACAACUCACAAUUUCAAGUUCUACUAGCCUGAUCCUAAACUCUAUAUCACAAAUGCUUACAAGAGAAUCAUGUUUUUGAUUAAUGUUUUGUCUGCAAUAUGGCAUAUCUGCUUGUAUGGAGGUUCCCAAUUUGGGAAUUCAGCACUUUAUUUUUUUGUUGUUGACGAAAUUUAAAAAUGCAUCUGUAAAAACGUGUAGAGCAACAUACUAUGCUCUGACCACCCAGAUUUUGCAGAACUAAAACUUCUAUGAGGUUAAUGGUAAAUGACCAUCUGUUGCAUUCAAAGAAUACUGGGGGUUGUAGUCCAUCUAUAUCUGAGGGGUCAGAGUUGGUGUAGUUUCACUGUUGUAUGAGUUUAGAGAGAGAGUGUGUGUGUGUGUGUGUGUGUGUAUGUAUGUAUAUAUAUAUAUAUAUAUAUAUAUAUAUAUAUAUAUAUAAAAAAUGUGUGUGCACCCACGCGCGCGUGCAAAUUGGACAUAUAUAUUUUUUUGUGAUGACCGCAUGUGUGUAAAAGCUUCAGUUUUUCAUACAUUUAUGUCCACACCCAUAUCACUUAUACUAACUCCUCUCUUUACAUGUCCCCUUACUACACAUAGUAAAUUACCUAGGGUGGGAAGUGAUGUUUUACAUUUGCUUUCUUUCAUUUUCUUUUCCCUUUUCUUUUUUUUUUUCUCUUUAGUGUUUUGUUAUGUAGUCCACUUUUUUCUUUCUUACAUUUACUAUUGACCUUACUACUGGUAUCUAGUGGUGAAUGCAGUUACACGUGACUUUCUACGGCUAGUGCAAACCAGCACAGGAAGCCAGGAGGUGACUUUGUAUAACUGCAGUUAGAACCACUGUCUUAUGCAUCAUACCAGAAAUUUUCUCUGCAAUGGUGACGUGUGUGUCAUUUAUUCAUUAAUGUUUUAGUAAGAUGAAAUUGUGCCAGUAUCCCAGUCUGGUUUAUGUAAUUUACUCAUGAAAUUAUAUGCAAUUGAAUACUAACUGAAUUUCCACUCUGUUUCCUGCCAAAAUCUAAAAUGUGGGAAUGCGGUUCAUGCUCUUUUUGUAAUGUUGUGAGAACACACUUUAAGAGCUGUUGUGUAUGUGAUAGGUUUUUAUUAUCUUUUUGAUAUGUGGAUGUUGCACAGCAAUUUAAGAAAUUACUUAAUAAUUGGAGUAUUUCCACAAUAUCAUGUCACUGUGAUCUUUCUUUUUUUGUAUUUCUUUUUUUUCUUUUUAAUAUUAAUGCUAAUUUUGAUGCUGCACUGAUGCACACAAAAGGGUAUAAAACCUGUACACUACUAGCUUUCAUUUAUUUACUUCUUCACCUGUGCAAACUGUUGCUAUAUUAACAAGUGGAAUGAUAUUAGGAAAUAUAACAACUGAUCAUGCUUUUCAUACUCAUUUGCAUAUUUUGUAUUGUAUUCUGGGAGUACAUUUGAGGAAACAAAAAAACACUUCAAGCUACUGUGUUUGAGGGUCACAUUUUGCCCCAUAUACAGUAGCCUUAUUUUUUUCUUCAUAUGUAGAUGGUGCACACCAUUAUACUUUAGAAUUUGAGUUAGCAUGUUUAUGUAGUACACUUAUACCUGUGGAAUAUUUCCAUUUAUUGUCACGUUCUCACCAUCUUUGUUUUACUUUCCUCUGCAUUUUGUGCAGAGAGAUUAGUAACGGGGACAUUUUCCUUGUGCCUUCUGUUCACUUUUAUUAUAUGCAUAUUAGAACUAUGUAAUUGAUUUCAACUACUUGGCUUAAAUUAAUAGUUAAAAUACAGCUGGUACUAUGUGCGCAAGAUGUCUUUACCCUCAAUAUUUGUACAAUAUACAUGUUUUGGCCAGUAUGUAUAAACCCAUGUGAUCAAAUUAAUGUUAUUCAUUUGUGUUUUUCAAGGAAUCCUUCUUGGUUAGUCCAUUGAAUGGUACGAAAUGCAUUGUGUAUCAGGUCUUUAUUCUAUAUUCUAGAGAAUAUAUUGUCAAUAUACUUUGUGUCUUGUGUUUGAGGGAACUACAUGAAUUGUAGUUACCAUAACUUCCAGAUUACUGUAACAGUGGGAUUUUUAGGGGAGCACCCCUCGCCCAGCUUGCACGUCAGACUUCCCAGGAGCAGCCACUUGGAAUGAUCCCAAUAUUUAACCUUUCUAAUAAGAAACUUGAGCAGUUUGUGUGAUGAUGGAUGAUCAAAGUUUGAAUUUGUUUUUCCUUUUUUAUUUUGUCUUUAUAUUGAACAAACUUUGGUGGCCUCUAGCAAGGUUUAUGCAUCUUGCUGCUGGAAGAGCCACUGUAAAUAAUGCCAGCCUUACCCAAGGCCUUUUGGUAUUUUCUUAAGUGUACGACCUUAGAAAAAUUAAUAAAUGAGAUGAUUUAGGACCAAAA